rnacentral:rRNA from 1 species
AGUGAACGCUGGCGGUAGGCCUAACACAUGCAAGUCGAACGGCAGCACAGUAAGAGCUUGCUCUUACGGGUGGCGAGUGGCGGACGGGUGAGGAAUACAUCGGAAUCUACUUUUUCGUGGGGGAUAACGUAGGGAAACUUACGCUAAUACCGCAUACGACCUACGGGUGAAAGCAGGGGAUCUUCGGACCUUGCGCGAUUGAAUGAGCCGAUGUCGGAUUAGCUAGUUGGCGGGGUAAAGGCCCACCAAGGCGACGAUCCGUAGCUGGUCUGAGAGGAUGAUCAGCCACCCUGGAACUGAGACACGGUCCAGACUCCUACGGGAGGCAGCAGUGGGGAAUAUUGACAAUGGGCGCAAGCCUGAUCCAGCCAUACCGCGUGGGUGAAGAAGGCCUUCGGGUUGUAAAGCCCUUUUGUUGGGAAAGAAAAGCAGCAGGUUAAUACCCCGCUGUUCUGACGGUACCCAAAGAAUAAGCACCGGCUAACUUCGUG